CAGUCGCCACGGUAAUACGUAGAUGGCAAGCGUUGUCCGGAAUUAUUGGGCGUAAAGCGUGCGCAGGCGGUUCGUUAAGACAGAUGUGAAAUCCCCGGGCUUAUCCUGGGAACUGCAUUUGUGACUGGCGGGCUAGAGUAUGGCAGAGGGGGGUAGAAUUCCACGUGUAGCAGUGAAAUGCGUAGAGAUGUGGAGGAAUACCGAUGGCGAAGGCAGCCCCCUGGGCCAAUACUGACGCUCAUGCACGAAAGCGUGGGGAGCAAACAGGAUUAGAUACCCCCGUAGUCCCUGUCUCUUAUAC
rnacentral:rRNA from 1 species